AGCAGCCGCGGUAAUUCCAGCUCCAAUAGCGUAUAUUAAAGUUGUUGCAGUUAAAAAGCUCGUAGUUGAAUUUCGGGAUCAAUACGUCGGUCGUGCUUCGGUACGUACUGGCGUCAUUGAUUUCUCCCUUCUGACGAACCAUGAUGUCAUUAACUUGGUGUCAUGGGAAAUCAGGACUGUUACUUUGAAAAAAUUAGAGUGUUUAAAGCAGGCUCACGCUUGAAUACAUUAGCAUGGAAUAAUGAAAUAGGACGUUCGAUCCUAUUUUGUUGGUUUCUAGGAUUGACGUAAUGAUUAAUAGGGAUAGUUGGGGGCAUUAGUAUUCAAUUGUCAGAGGUGAAAUUCUUGGAUUUAUUGAAGACUAACUACUGCGAAAGCAUUUGCCAAGGAUGUUUUCAUUAAUCAAGAACGAAAGUUAGGGGAUCGAAGACGAUCAGAUACCGUCGUAGUCUUAACCAUAAACUAUGCCGACUAGGGAUCGGAUGAUGUUAAUUUUUUAAUGACUCAUUCGGCGCCUUAC
rnacentral:rRNA from 1 species